GGGACCUGCACGCGUUGCGGUGCAACGAUGGUCAAAGA
rnacentral:ncRNA from 1 species